rnacentral:rRNA from 1 species
UACGUAGGGGGCAAGCGUUGUCCGGAUUUAUUGGGCGUAAAGAGCGUGUAGGCGGCUUUACAGGUCCGUUGUGAAAACUCGAGGCUCAACCUCGAGACGCCGGUGGAAACCGUAAAGCUAGAGUCCGGAAGAGGAGAGUGGAAUUCCUGGUGUAGCGGUGAAAUGCGCAGAUAUCAGGAAGAACACCCGUGGCGAAGGCGGCUCUCUGGGACGUGACUGACGCUGAGACGCGAAAGCGUGGGGAGCGAACAGG